rnacentral:tRNA from 1 species
AGGGGUAUAGCGGUAGAGGAUUCGAUUGCAGAUUCAGAGGUCCCUGGUUCAAAUCCUGGUACCUCUU